UUAAGCUAGGGUUUCCCCAAAGCUUCAAUAUUUUCCGGUGGAUAAUUCGCUCUUCGGUGAUUUUUCAAGAGUCCAGAAGAGUUAGGGUUUUCAACGUCGUUCUCGGCACCGGAGGAUGUCUUUCUCUCUACUUCUCUUGCGAGUUAUUUUGACAGUCUGAAAAAGGUUUCUGCCAGAACCACAAGAUUGCAGGAAAGGAGGAGGAAGAAGAUGGCUGGUUUGAGGCUAGAUGCGGGGCUCAAGGUUGCUGCUGGAGAUGAUGACAGAAGCUCAGGGGUAGUCAUUCAGCUGGAAUGAUUCCUGUUGAUAAAAAAUUUUGUGAUAGUUGUUUUUUGAGCUAAAAAACUAUAGUAGUUUCUAUAUCUCCUUUUUGUGACAUUCUAGUCAGUUUUGGGUUGUUCUCUAA